UUUUGAUAUCUUCACUUCACUUGUUCUACAUCUUCCUAAAUCAUUAUACCAUUCUACCUUGAGAUGACCUUAUUACAAUUUGUUAAAGCUGUACCAGGGAAGAAGUUGUGUUGCAUCAAGAUACUGAGAAGUUGGGUGAAGGGGUGCUAUUCCUGAUGACUGAUACUGGAUCGGGAGCUGGAGCAUCAACAACUUACAGAUGGGCUAAAUAAUUUAGCAUAAAAUAUCCCUAUGAAAGUAAUAUAGAUUUGAGUUUAAAGAUGAAAACAGUAGAUGUAGUGAAACAGAUGAGUAUAUGAAAUAAGUACUAUUUUUUCAAAAAUGUAUACUUAAAUCCCACUUACACGAACACCUGUUCUGGCUGUUGUUUCCAGUUUAAUGAGUUUAGAGAGGUCUGUAUCUCUCAACUGAGAGUAGCUCUAUCAUUCUGAUAUUUAAUUUUGUUUGUUUUUUAUAAAUGUCUUAUAAAAAAGAGAAUAAUUUAGCACCUGUUACCUACUAACAUCUGUCUCAGUUAGCCAUUGUUAAAUAUGUACACAAUGCAUUGAAUUUCAGUUGAUUUUUCUCUUAAAUCACAAAUUGAUUUAAUUAUCAAUGCAAAGUUCUUACCAUAGCAAUUGUUCAUUGAAAAUUUAAUUAGACUGGAUUACCAAUGGAUCUUUCUUUAUCUUCUUUGAAUAUGAAGAACAUCUAAUUGUCUUCAAUUGUCUUUUGCCUUUUAAACACUUCCUUUUUUCUUCUCAGUGUAUCUGUAUAGCCAUUGCAAUAAAAUAAAAAUUCAAAGGC
ensembl:lncRNA